UUGAGGUAGGACUGGGGAACUAAGUCUGGUUGGGUUUUCUCUGAAAUCUGUCAAUAACAUCUGGAAGGAGAACCUCUCCAGUCUUUUUUAUGCAGUUCCAUGUUGCUCUCUGGCUGGACACAUACCUUUUUGCUUCACCUGUUAUAAAGGCCUGAUCCUCCAUUGGAUCAUCUUCACCUUCUUUUCUAAAUGAAAGGAGUUUUGAAAAGUUAAUUUUUGAAAAAGAUGCCUAGCAGUAUAAUUCAUUUACAUUUCAGUUUCUUGUUAAAAUCAGGCAUGAGAGGGGAACUUGACAAAACACUGGAGUAUUUAAGAGGGUGGAAAAAAAAAUUGAAACUUAGGUUGUCAGUUCUCUGUUUUAAAAGUGAAAAAUAUUACUUGGUGAUCGACUGUCCAACCUUCAGACCAAGGUUAACUGACUUGAUCUUCCACCUUUGUCAACAGCAAUACUGAGGACAGUUCCUCAAUUCCUAACAUGAAACACCUCGCAGGAGCAGAGCCUAAUAACAGUAGUUUCUUUUCUCAUCAAUAUAACCAGUUUGGGUCCCUGUUGCUUCACAUGUAAAUCUACUUUAUAUGAAAGACAAAAAAUAGUCUGUAAAAUAAAUUUUGAGUUGUGAUUGAGCCAUGUUUGGAGAAUGUUUUAUUCUGAGGUUGUAGUGUUGGCGGCUUUCAUCUUGAGAACUUGAUGAACCUAAAAUGGCAUUAUGAAGAAUGAAGAGAGAGACUUCCUUGAAAA
rnacentral:lncRNA from 1 species